GCGUGAUGGUGGAACUGUGGAUAUUGAAGAAGAUGUGCUUCAUGCACUUCAGGCCGAAUUGGGGCAGUUGUGCAUGAAUGAUAAUCUUGAGAUGACAUACAGACCACUAUAUGAUGUCAUUCAGGGAAUUGUAGGUUGGAUCAAUAUCAGGAAAGAUAAUUUGCAGAGAUGUGAAUUUGAGCAUUAUUUGUCAACGUG